UCAGGCAGUCCUAGCUAUAGCCCCUGUCCUUCCUGCUCUUUUUCCAAUGUUACUGGCAUUUUAGGAAUGUUUCUUUCUUAGAGCACCCUCUCAAGUUCUUAUUAAACUGAUGAUAUUCUCACUUGCAGUUUAAACCGUGCCAUAUCACUGCUCAUUGGCACAUUGCAUAGAAAGGCUCUGUUCAAAGCAAUUGCAACCAUUGCAUCUACAUCUCUUUGCUUAACUUAUUUUUUCCACUUUAGAAAUGCUAAUGUGAUUUCAGUUUAAAUAAAAUACAAUUACAGCCACCACUGCUGGGAUAAGACAACCCAGCCACAAGACUGUUGGAUUUUGAAAGGCAUCAGAUCCCAGACAAAAGGACAGGAGAUUGUCCUCAGCUUUCCAGGGACUUUGUAUAGAACCUUUCUCUUUGCACUGAGCAGGCUUCCUUUCCUUAAAACUUACCUCCAUGGCAGUCUGGUUUAUCUUCAAUGAAUAAGAAAUGUAUAAUAAAAGUCAGGUACAACUUACUUGAGCCAGGCAAAGGCACAUAAUUUGUAGAAAAACCCCUAAAGGUAACGAUCCCCUGCCCCGAGCAGUGCUAGCCAUGGUCACUUCUCUGCUGGCCAGCAAUGUUUUCCACUCUGUUGCUCUUGAUGGAUUUUAGGACCCGCAAGACAUACAAUUCCCACCAAGUGACUCCACUAGCAGCAGCAGAAAGUGUGACAUCAACGUCAGUUGUAUGGUUGCAUACAGGUUUGAUACUCAAGAUAAAAAGAAAAGGCAGUAGAAGACUAUUUAUGGCCUGACCCAGAGCAGCAGGACCUUCAAAGGAGCCCUUCUUCACAGAUAAAUGUUAUUUUCAGACAGACAGUCUUUGAAGGGAGUAACAGUGAAAACAGCAUCUGAGAGUCCUCUGCAGACAUAUAAACAUUGGCUCAUAUGGCUGCAGAGAGUGAGAGGGAUUGAAGCUUAUAUGCAUGGAAAGGCUGAGUCAAAGAGCACGAGCAG